CUAUAAUGUUAAAAUGUCAGAUGUUCAUAUUCAAAAUGUCCAAAGCUUCAAAUAAUGAGGUAAAUGUACCUAAAAGAAAUCCCUGUGAACCAAAACAUCAGAUUUCACACUGUUUUGCAGCAUUUUUG